rnacentral:rRNA from 1 species
GACGAACGCUGGCGGCGUGCUUAACACAUGCAAGUCGAACGGAAAGGCCCUGCUUUUGUGGGGUGCUCGAGUGGCGAACGGGUGAGUAACACGUGAGUAACCUGCCCUUGACUUUGGGAUAACUUCAGGAAACUGGGGCUAAUACCGGAUAGGAGCUCCUGCUGCAUGGUGGGGGUUGGAAAGUUUCGGCGGUUGGGGAUGGACUCGCGGCUUAUCAGCUUGUUGGUGGGGUAGUGGCUUACCAAGGCUUUGACGGGUAGCCGGCCUGAGAGGGUGACCGGCCACAUUGGGACUGAGAUACGGCCCAGACUCCUACGGGAGGCGGCAGUGGGGAAUAUUGCACAAUGGGCGGAAGCCUGAUGCAGCAACGCCGCGUGCGGGAUGACGGCCUUCGGGUUGUAAACCGCUUUCGCCUGUGACGAAGCGUGAGUGACGGUAAUGGGUAAAGAAGCACCGGCUCACUACGUGCCAGCAGCCGCGGUGAUACGUAGGGUGCGAGCGUUGUCCGGAUUUAUUGGGCGUAAAGGGCUCGUAGGUGGUUGAUCGCGUCGGAAGUGUAAUCUUGGGGCUUAACCCUGAGCGUGCUUUCGAUACGGGUUGACUUGAGGAAGGUAGGGGAGAAUGGAAUUCCUGGUGGAGCGGUGGAAUGCGCAGAUAUCAGGAGGAACACCAGUGGCGAAGGCGGUUCUCUGGGCCUUUCCUGACGCUGAGGAGCGAAAGCGUGGGGAGCGAACAGGCUUAGAUACCCUGGUAGUCCACGCUGUAAACGGUGGGUACUAGGUGUGGGGUCCAUUCCACGGGUUCCGUGCCGUAGCUAACGCUUUAAGUACCCCGCCUGGGGAGUACGGCCGCAAGGCUAAAACUCAAAGGAAUUGACGGGGCCCCGCACAAGCGGCGGAGCAUGCGGAUUAAUUCGAUGCAACGCGUAGAACCUUACCUGGGUUUGACAUGGAUCGGGAGUGCUCAGAGAUGGGUGUGCCUCUUUUGGGGUCGGUUCACAGGUGGUGCAUGCCUGUCGUCAGCUCGUGUCGUGAGAUGUUGGGUUAAGUCCCGCAACGAGCGCAACCCUUGUUCACUGUUGCCAGCACGUUAUGGUGGGGACUCAGUGGAGACCGCCGGGGUCAACUCGGAGGAAGGUGGGGAUGACGUCAAGUCCUCAUGCCCCUUAUGUCCAGGGCUUCACGCAUGCUACAAUGGCUGGUACAGAGAGUGGCGAGCCUGUGAGGGUGAGCGAAUCUCGGAAAGCCGGUCUCAGUUCGGAUUGGGGUCUGCAACUCGACCUCAUGAAGUCGGAGCCGCUAGUAAUCGCAGAUCAGCAACGCUGCGGUGAAUACGUUCCCGGG